rnacentral:rRNA from 1 species
CCUGUUUAUCAAAAACAUAGCCAUUAGAACAUAUUGUAUGGUUUGACCUGCCCAGUGUUAUAGUGAUAAAUGGCCGCGGUACCCUGACCGUGCUAAGGUAGCGUAAUAAUUUGACCUUUAAAUGGGGUCAGGUAUGAAUGGAAGAACCGGGUUUAGCUGUCUCUUAUAGUAUUUUUUUGAAUUUACUAUCUAAGUGAAAAAGCUUAGUUUAUGAAGAGGGACGAGAAGACCCUUAGAAUUUUUUUUAAAGAUUAAUUAUUUGGUCUACGAUUUUAUUGGGGCGAUAAAGAAAGAUCUAGAAACUUUCUUUUUAUACUAGCCGACUAUAUUAAGCGAGAAUAAAUUACCUGAGGGAUAACAGCAUAAUUCUACAAUUGGGUUUGUGACCUCGAUGUUGGACUAGGAAACCAAUAGGCUAGCCGUUUGUUGUNUUAGGUUCUGUUCNAACUUUAAUUCCU